UACGUAGGGCGCAAGCGUUGUCCGGAAUUAUUGGGCGUAAAGAGCUCGUAGGCGGCUUGUCACGUCGGGUGUGAAAGACCGGGGCUUAACCCCGGUUCUGCAUUCGAUACGGGCUAGCUAGAGUGUGGUAGGGGAGAUCGGAAUUCCUGGUGUAGCGGUGAAAUGCGCAGAUAUCAGGAGGAACACCGGUGGCGAAGGCGGAUCUCUGGGCCAUUACUGACGCUGAGGAGCGAAAGCGUGGGGAGCGAACCGG
rnacentral:rRNA from 1 species